GAUGAACGCUGGCGGCGUGCUUAACACAUGCAAGUCGAACGGUGAAGGCGGAGCUUGCUCUGCUGGAUCAGUGGCGAACGGGUGAGUAACACGUGAGCAAUCUGCCCCUGACUCUGGGAUAAGCGCUGGAAACGGCGUCUAAUACUGGAUACGAGCUGCGAAGGCAUCUUCAGCAGCUGGAAAGAACUUCGGUCAGGGAUGAGCUCGCGGCCUAUCAGCUUGUUGGUGAGGUAACGGCUCACCAAGGCGUCGACGGGUAGCCGGCCUGAGAGGGUGACCGGCCACACUGGGACUGAGACACGGCCCAGACUCCUACGGGAGGCAGCAGUGGGGAAUAUUGCACAAUGGGAGAAAGCCUGAUGCAGCAACGCCGCGUGGGGGACGACGGCCUUCGGGUUGUAAACCUCUUUUAGCAGGGAAGAAGCGAAAGUGACGGUACCUGCAGAAAAAGCGCCGGCUAACUACGUG
rnacentral:rRNA from 1 species